UACGUAGGGUGCAAGCGUUGUCCGGAAUUAUUGGGCGUGAAGAGCUCGUAGGUGGCCUGUCGCGUCGGCUGUGAAAACUCGGGGCUCAACUCCGAGCUUGCAGUCGAUACGGGCAGGCUAGAGUUCGGCAGGGGAGACUGGAAUUCCUGGUGUAGCGGUGAAAUGCGCAGAUAUCAGGAGGAACACCAAUAGCGAAGGCAGCUCGCUGGGACGUUACUGACACUGAGGCGCGAAAGCGUGGGGAGCGAACAGG
rnacentral:rRNA from 1 species